rnacentral:lncRNA from 1 species
GCCUGAAAUCCCAGUACUUGUGAGGGAAACAGAGAAGAACUAGAAGUUCAAGGGCAGACUUCCCUACAUAGUGAAUACAAGCCCAGCCUGGGCUAGUCAGCUAAAAUUCCUUCUCUUGAGCAGACAGACAAAGGCCUAUCCUUGUUCCAGCAGCAAACAGAAGAGUCCUCCAAAGGACACUCUGCGGAGGGAAUGGUGAGUUGAGCUUCCUUCUAUGAUGUAAACAAGGAGUUGCUCACAGAGCCAGGGUGUUCAUCCCCCAAGUUACGCCUAGAAAGCCUUUACCCAGUCGGGAUGAAGACUUCUCCACCCAGCCACCCCACCCACUUAGUCUUCCUAGGUUACAGACUCUACCCCUCCCCUCAGCGAGGCCACUUCUAGUUAUGGAUAAAAUCGCGUACUAGGUAGGGUGGAUACUCAGGUAAGGGUCUCCUGACCUCCCUACCGCUUUAUGAGCAGGUGUGGGUCAACAAGCCCAGCUGUGAUGAUCUUUUGCCAGUAAACAUUACAGAAUGUGGUAAGAUAGAUUUUGUUUGUUUCAGAAGAUAGUCCUGUACAACACCUAUACAAACUGUCUCAAUUCAUUAACAAACGAACUACGGAAGGACAAGGAGAAAUUAAGACUUAAAUCCAUAGAUUUGUAUAAUGUGGGGAAAAAUGGAUUGUGACAUACGGAUACAAUGGAAUGCUAUUCAGCCAUAAGAAGCCUGUUGCUGAUGUGCACAGAAUGAAUGUGUUUCACAGGUGUGGUGCACAAAAGAAGACAACUGGGAGAGAGUUCUCCUGUGUAGAAGAGAUAAACAAUGAGAAGAUAUGCAAAUGAAAGAGAAGGUAAUUUCAGCUGACCGUUAACACAGAGAAGAGAACAUACUUAGAGAAUGAAAUACAAGACCAUAUUUUACUCAUUGCUGAGACCAAGUAUAUGAGUCACAUGUGUUUGGAUGUCAAAUUCUCCUCUGCUCAGCUCCCUCGUGAUCACAACAUCAACCUCUUUUAGUCUCAUUGUCCAGUGAAAAUCUUUUUUGAAACAUGAAAACAUGAAACCAUGUUUUACUUGUGCACAUUAUUUCCUCACAGAGUCUCUUGGAGAGGAUAGAUGGACAGUUCAUCCGCUCAUUAGACAACAAUUAAGAGCACAGGAGUGUGUGCCCAUGGCGUGGUGAAGAGCCGCUUCCACUUCACUGCAGAUCCCAGUUCUCCUCACAGCUUGAACAUCUAGGGAGUUACCUCAUCAAGACCUUGGGAAUGUCUAUAUCUCUAAGCUCAAAGCAUCCUCUAAAAAUAAGAUUACAACCCCAUUAGUCACAUCAGGCAUAGCAUAGGUCAUAAGUGUUUAUGCUCUAAAACCCUGGUAAGCUUUUAGGACACCAGAAUAGUUUCUGUCAUCCAGUUGAUCCCCACGACCACAAAUUGUUGAGCAUCUAUUAUAUAUUGUAUUGCUGCUUUUAAUCUCUUUGCUUACUUUGGUCCUUACCAAUAAAGAGACAGAGGGUUCAGCUCCUUAGAGUUCU